UCCCUAUAGCUCAAAUGGUAAAGAAUCUGCCUGCAAUGCAGGAGAUCCAGGUUCGAUCCCUGGGUUGGGAA
rnacentral:tRNA from 1 species